CGCAUCUGUGCAUGCAGCAUAUCAAUAAGCGGAGGAAAAGAAACUAACAAGGAUUCCCCUAGUAACGGCGAGUGAAGCGGGAAGAGCUCAAAUUUGAAAUCUUAAAGGGUUUCCCUUUACGAAUUGUAGUUUAAAGAAGUGUUUUCUGUUGAGGUUUUGGUAAAAGUUCUUUGGAAUAGGACAUCAUAGAGGGUGAGGAUCCCGUAUUUGACCUUUACCUUCAACUUUGUGAUACACUUUCAAAGAGUCGGAUUGUUUGGGAAUGCAGUCCAAAAUGGGUGGUAAAUUUCAUCUAAAGCUAAAUAUUGGCGAGAGACCGAUAGCGAACAAGUACCGUGAGGGAAAGAUGAAAAGAACUUUGAAAAGAGAGUUAAACAGUACGUGAAAUUGUCAAAAGGGAAGCGUUUGACACCAGUGUUGUUUUUCUGAAAAUCAAUUAAAGAACUGUUUAUGCUAAGUUGUUUAGACUUUAUCAGCUAUCUGUUUAGUUUUAGGCUUUUCUUUAAUGCACUUUUCAGUUAACAAGUCAACAUCAAUUUCUUUUGCUGUAAAAAAGCUUGAGGAAGGUGGCUUGAGAUUCGUCUUAAGUGUUUAUAGCCUCUUGCCUAUGCAGUCGGAGAGAUUGAGGUCUGCAGCGUAGAUCCUUCGGGGCUAAAUGCAUUUGUGCUAAGUUAUAGCAUUUUAUAGACAACUUGUUGACUAUGAUUUGUCUUGUAGCUUACUCGCUUAUGUUAUUUUACCUACGCUUAGGAUGUUGAACGCGCACAGAGUCUC
rnacentral:rRNA from 1 species